GGGGAUAUAGUUUGAUUGGUAAAACUGCGAUUUUGCGUAUCGUUAAUUCGGGAUCGACUCCUGAUAUCUCCA
rfam:Metarhizium robertsii ARSEF 23 MAA_Scf_3, whole genome shotgun sequence.